rnacentral:lncRNA from 1 species
CCCAACUCUCAAGUAUUUCUGUUUACAAUCCUGUAGAGGGACAUUUCACAGAAUGAGGGAGGCGUUGGCGUACUGUUUCAUCAUAUGAUGUUUGAAGAGUUCCAUCUUAAUUGGGCACACUGCCCUCUGUAUUCCAACACUGCAUCUUCUCCACCAUAAGCCUACCUAAUACAUAGGUUUUGGGUCUCAGCAAUCUGGCAUACAGGGCAGGAUAUGUACUUAAACUUAAGCAUCUGUCUGAGAUUCUGAAACACAGGCAAGAAAGCAGGAGACAGGGAACCGUGUUUUGUGCUUUUGAUCCCUUGUGCCACAAACAGAACUGGUUAAUAGGCCUGCAGAUUGUUGAAUCAAACACUACCAUGUUAUGGAGGUAAGUAUGGGAAGAAAUAACUACUUUAUACACUGCCUCCAUAUUCCAUAUACUGUUAUACGAAUAAGACCAAUUCUGCCACCUCUUAGUUUUCAUGAAUAAGAGAAGAAUGUGAUCCUCCUACCUUAUUAUUUAUUAUGACUUAUAGCUUUAUGUUUCAAUGUACAAAUUAGUAAAACAAGGAUGAAUUAAACCUAAUUAAAGUCUCAACUUCUGAAGCUGUAAACUAGUGCUAUAGGUUAAUAGCUAGUCUCUCAGAAAAGCUAAGCUUCUAAGAUGCCCACAUCCUCAUAAAUUAACCAGACAACAUUGGGAUGACAAGUCAAGACAAAAUAUUUCCCAGCCUUAUUAUGGCUGCAUGAAUAAUGUUACUGCUGUCAUGGAAAGAUUGGGGAAAAGCCUGACAGGAUGCCAACAUUUUACCACACUGAGGCAGUGUUGGUGGAUAAAGCACAGGACUGGGAAUCAAGUGAACAAGUCUUAGACUCUGCAUCAACCAUACAUUAGCUGCACUAUCUCAGUUCUAACAGAAAGGAUAUAGAGUCUAUUCUAAGACACCCAGCAAAGCAAAGCAACCACUUGCAGUUCCAGCAAGGCAAGAACACUCACACCUUGUCUGACAGAGGACAGACAGAAAACAGACCUGAAGCCUUGUGUCACCUCUCAAGAUCCCUGAGGCCUGCUAACAUUUACCUUAUCAGUGAGCAGGGGAGUCUAAAUGGAUGUAAUUUGAAUAUCAAGGCCUUGAAGAAGGAAGAAGCAGUCUAGAAACAUCUCUGCCAUCUGUGGUCUCAUGGAUCAUCUGCUGUCUUCUCAACUGAAAGAGAGAGAAGACAGCAGAUUUCUACAGUAAGGGC